rnacentral:lncRNA from 1 species
ACCACAGGGGAACAGACGCUCAAUCUGGGGGCCAGAACGCGGCAGGACCGAAAUGGAAAAAAAGGUGGUGGCGGCGGAGAAGGAGGCGGUGGCGGCGGAGAAGGAGGCGGUGGCGGCGGAGAAGGAGGUGGUGGCGGCGGAGAAGGAGGUGGUGGCGGGGAGGGCGGCGGAGGGGGUCGUCUCCUGUUCCACCUUUGGGCAGAAACCGAGGUAAAGAACAGCAGGCUCAGCAUGAGGACUGCUGUGCAGGCACCUCUUUUGGAAGCCAUGAGGGGAAGAAGUCGGACGUCCGAGGACUGGUUUCGGACACAAGGGUAACGAUAGACCGUAUGUUGUGUGAGUGUGAGCUGGAUAGUUUGC